rnacentral:rRNA from 1 species
UACGUAGGGGGCUAGCGUUGUCCGGAAUCAUUGGGCGUAAAGAGCGCGUAGGCGGCCAGUUAAGUCCGGUGUGAAAGCCCGGGGCUCAACCCCGGGAGGCGGAUGGAUACUGCUGGGCUCGAGUCCGGAAGAGGCAAGUGGAAUUCCCGGUGUAGCGGUGAAAUGCGCAGAUAUCGGGAGGAACACCAAUGGCGAAGGCAGCUUGCUGGGACGGUACUGACGCUGAGACGCGAAAGCGUGGGGAGCAAACAGG